GACUUGUUGCUCUAGCGGAAUGAUUCUCACUUAGGGUGUGAGAGGUCGCAGGCUCAAAUCCCGUACAAGCCC
rnacentral:tRNA from 1 species